rnacentral:tRNA from 1 species
GUCGUGGUGGCUGAGCGGUUAAGCGCUUGGCUUCCGAACCGGGGUCCGAGGUUCGAAUCCUUGUGAAGACU